AUGCCGUUAGUACUUCGGUACAUAGGAGACAGGUGGUGCAUGGUUGUCGUCAGCUCGUGUCGUGAGAUGUUGGGUUAAGUCCCGCAACGAGCGCAACCCUUAUCUUUAGUAGCCAGCAGUAAGAUGGGCACUCUAGAGAGACUGCCGGGGAUAACCCGGAGGAAGGUGGGGAUGACGUCAAAUCAUCAUGCCCCUUAUGACCAGGGCUACACACGUGCUACAAUGGCGUAAACAAAGAGAAGCGAAGUCGUGAGGCAGAGCGAAUCUCAAAAAUAACGUCUCAGUUCGGAUUGUAGUCUGCAACUCGACUACAUGAAGCUGGAAUCGCUAGUAAUCGCAGAUCAGAAUGCUGCGGUGAAUACGUUCCCGGGUCUUGUACACACCGA
rnacentral:rRNA from 1 species